CGGCGGACGGGUGAGUAACGCGUGGGUAACCUGCCUCAUACAGGGGGAUAACAGUUAAGAAAUGACUGCUAAUACCGCAUAAGACCACGGUACCGCAUGGUACAGUGGUAAAAACUCCGGUGGUAUGAGAUGGACCCGCGUCUGAUUAGGUAGUUGGUGGGGUAACGGCCUACCAAGCCGACGAUCAGUAGCCGACCUGAGAGGGUGACCGGCCACAUUGGGACUGAGACACGGCCCAG
rnacentral:rRNA from 1 species